rnacentral:SRP_RNA from 1 species
GCUGGAGGUGGUAGCACAUGCCUGUAAUUCCCAGCUUUCAUCUGUCUCUUGAUUUUAGGUAUUCUGAGAAAUAGUGGGCUAAACCAAUCAGGUAUACACAUUGAUUUUGGCAUUAACAUGGCAAGCCACUAGGAUUGAGGGUUAGGGGACACCAGGUUGCCUAAGGAAGAGUGAACUGGUUCAGGUUGGAAACAGAGCAUGUCAAAGCUCCCAUGCUAAACAGUAAUGGUCUCAAAUCCACUUCCAGCCUGAUAGCCAAAUAGGAAGAUCCAGU